ACGGACCUUCGGGUCAGUGGCGGACGGGUGAGUAACGCGUGGGAAUCUGCCUUCAGGAGGGGGAUAACGGCUGGAAACGGCCGCUAAUACCCCAUAUGCCGCGAGGUGAAAUGAAUUUCGCCUGAAGAUGAGCCCGCGUCUGAUUAGCUAGUUGGUGGGGUAAGAGCCUACCAAGGCGACGAUCAGUAGCUGGUCUGAGAGGAUGAUCAGCCACACUGGGACUGAGACACGGCCCAGACUCCUACGGGAGGCAGCAGUGGGGAAUUUUCCGCAAUGGGCGAAAGCCUGACGGAGCAACGCCGCGUGAGGGAUGAAGGCCUCUGGGCUGUAAACCUCUUUUCUCAAGGAAGAAGAUCUGACGGUACUUGAGGAAUAAGCCACGGCUAAUUCCGUGCCAGCAGCCGCGGUAAUACGGGAGUGGCAAGCGUUAUCCGGAAUUAUUGGGCGUAAAGCGUCCGCAGGCGGUUCUGUAAGUCUGUCGUUAAAGCGUGGAGCUCAACUCCAUUUCGGCGAU
rnacentral:rRNA from 1 species